CUCUUUUGGUUCCAUUUAUUGUCAAGUCUCACUCCACCAGGAAAGCAAAGGUAUCUAUUUUUUUAUAACUCAUUUAUUUUUUAAGUUAAUUUAUUGAGAUUUAUCUGUAGUAUUUAUAGUUUGCUUGUAUAUUUAAGUGUUUUAAAGCUUUUCCCUAUAUAACUUUUGUUUGAGAUUUGGGGGAAAUAGAUUUUAUUUAUCACUUGAUGAAAUUAAGUUUGAUUU
rnacentral:lncRNA from 1 species